rnacentral:rRNA from 1 species
GACGAACGCUGGCGGCGUGCUUAACACAUGCAAGUCGUACGGUAAGGCCCUUUCGGGGGUACACGAGUGGCGAACGGGUGAGUAACACGUGAGUAACCUGCCCACAACUUUGGGAUAACGCUAGGAAACUGGUGCUAAUACUGGAUAUGUGCUCCUGCUGCAUGGUGGGGGUUGGAAAGCUCCGGCGGUUGUGGAUGGACUCGCGGCCUAUCAGCUUGUUGGUGGGGUAGUGGCCUACCAAGGCGGCGACGGGUAGCCGGCCUGUGAGGGUGACCGGCCACAUUGGGACUGAGAUACGGCCCAGACUCCUACGGUAGGCAGCAGUGGGGAAUAUUGCACAAUGGGCGCCAGCCUGAUGCAGCAACGCCGCGUGCGGGAUGACGGCCUUCGGGUUGUAAACCGCUUUCAGCAGGGACGAAGCUUUUUGUGACGGUACCUGCAGAAGAAGCACCGGCUAACUACGUG